AUAAUGGUGUCUUUAGACACCACCUCCAUGUUCGAAAUUUUUAUUU
rfam:Picea glauca, whole genome shotgun sequence.